rnacentral:rRNA from 1 species
GGCUACACACGUGCUACAAUGGGUAGUACAGAGAGUCGCAAAGCCGCGAGGUGGAGCUAAUCUCAGAAAACUAUUCUUAGUUCGGAUUGUACUCUGCAACUCGAGUACAUGAAGUUGGAAUCGCUAGUAAUCGCGAAUCAGCAAUGUCGCGGUGAAUACGUUCUCGGGUCUUGUACACACCACCCGUCACACCACGAGAGUUGGUUGCACCUGAAGUAGCAGGCCUAACCGUAAGGAGGGAUGCUCCGAGGGUGUGAUUAGCGAUUGGGGUGAAGUCGUAACAAGGUAUCCGUACGGGAACGU